rnacentral:misc_RNA from 1 species
GUAGGUGAACCUGCGGAAGGAUCAUUAACGAACAAAAGAUUUACUUGAUUUAAAUCUUUUGGGAUCAACCAAAGACCUGUCAGAAGUAUUCAAAUGUAUAUUGAAUACACAAUAUAUUAAAAAUAUUACAAAACUUUCAACAACGGAUCUCUUGGUUCUG